GGCCGGUUAGCUCAGUUGGUUAGAGCUUGGUGCUGAUAACGCCAAGGUCGCGGGUUCGAUUCCCCGUACGGGCCA